rnacentral:rRNA from 1 species
UCAUUAAAUCAGUUAUGGUUCCUUAGAUCGUACCCACAUUUACUUGGAUAACUGUGGUAAUUCUAGAGCUAAUACAUGCAAACAGAGUUCCGACCGGAGACGGGAGGAAUGCUUUUAUUAGAUCAAAACCAAUCGGCGUCGGGCGCGCUCGCGCGUCCGUUCGCCGCUCAACUUGGUGACUCUGAAUAACUUUCGGCUGAUCGCACGGUCUCGCACCGGCGACGCAUCUUUCAAAUGUCUGCCUUAUCAACUGUCGAUGGUAGGUUCUGCGCCUACCAUGGUCGUAACGGGUAACGGGGAAUCAGGGUUCGAUUCCGGAGAGGGAGCCUGAGAAACGGCUACCACAUCCAAGGAAGGCAGCAGGCGCGCAAAUUACCCACUCCCGGCACGGGGAGGUAGUGACGAAAAAUAACGAUACGGGACUCAUCCGAGGCCCCGUAAUCGGAAUGAGUACACUUUAAAUCCUUUAACGAGGAUCAAUUGGAGGGCAAGUCUGGUGCCAGCAGCCGCGGUAAUUCCAGCUCCAAUAGCGUA